rnacentral:rRNA from 1 species
AGUGAACGCUGGCGGUAGGCCUAACACAUGCAAGUCGAACGGCAGCACAGGAGAGCUUGCUCUCUGGGUGGCGAGUGGCGGACGGGUGAGGAAUACAUCGGAAUCUACUCUGUCGUGGGGGAUAACGUAGGGAAACUUACGCUAAUACCGCAUACGACCUACGGGUGAAAGCAGGGGACCUUCGGGCCUUGCGCGAUUGAAUGAGCCGAUGUCGGAUUAGCUAGUUGGCGGGGUAAAGGCCCACCAAGGCGACGAUCCGUAGCUGGUCUGAGAGGAUGAUCAGCCACACUGGAACGGAGACACGGUCCAGACUCCUACGGGAGGCAGCAGUGGGGAGUAUUGGACAAUGGGCGCAAGCCUGAUCCAGCCAUACCGCGUGGGUGAAGAAGGCCUUCGGGUUGUAAAGCCCUUUUGUUGGGAAAGAAAUCCAGCUGGCUAAUACCCGGUUGGGAUGACGGUACCCAAAGAAUAAGCACCGGUUAACUUCGCGCCAGCCGCCGCAGUAA